GUCCAGCAGAGACAAAUGCACGAAGAAGUAAGAGGAACUGUAACAGAGAUCAUGCCUGGGGCACAGUGGAAAAAAACAGAACCACAGUGAAGUUGUGCACAACUAACACCUGCACACAGAAUUACUGUGAAGGUGGUGGUAACAGCGUUCCCUGGAGCAGGUGUGAGCUCCUGGAAGACUUCACUGCCACAGACAGCAUUAUCAUACACGGAACGAUUUCCCAAAAAGACAGGGUGUAUGUGAUUGCACAAUAGAGCUCUAGUUCCAUCAUCUUCAUGAAGAGGAUUUCCACCUACACGAGGGACGCAAGCGAGAGAAAGACUCCUUGGGCCAAUCCUGGCUCUGCCUGCUAUAACCGCUACCCCUGGUCUCUGACAACCACAGGCAGCUCCACGAGCCUCCAAAGCAUCCCCUUUGGCAGUGGAACCCCUUGUGCAUAGGAGUCAAUGGAAGAGAGAAAGAAAAACAGAGGGUGUGCUUUGACUGGGCUGAAAAUAAAGGACCUCAGGUGGUGGGUACUAUUUGUAUUAAAACUACUUGUAUCUGUUUCUGACAUUAAAGAAGACUUUUUGAUUUUUUUUUUUUUGAGACAGGGUCUUAUUGUGUAGUUCAGGCAGGCCUGGAACUCAUUAGGUACCAUAAGAUAGCCUCAAACUCACACCAAUUCUCCUGCCUCAGCCUCCCAAGUGCUGGGAUUACA